GGCGAGUGGCGAACGGGUGAGUAAUAUAUCGGAACGUACCCAAGAGUGGGGGAUAACGUAGCGAAAGUUACGCUAAUACCGCAUACGAUCUAUGGAUGAAAGUGGGGGAUUCGCAAGAACCUCAUGCUCCUGGAGCGGCCGAUAUCAGAUUAGGUUGUUGGUGAGGUAAAAGCUCACCAAGCCGACGAUCUGUAGCUGGUUUGAGAGAACGACCAGCCACACUGGGACUGAGACACGGCCCAGACUCCUACGGGAGGCAGCAGUGGGGAAUUUUGGACAAUGGGCGAAAGCCUGAUCCAGCAAUGCCGCGUGCAGGAAGAAGGCCUUCGGGUUGUAAACUGCUUUUGUACGGAACGAAAAGGUCUGCUUUAAUAAAGUGGGCCCAUGACGGUACCGUAAGAAUAAGCACCGGCUAACUACGUGCCAGCAGCCGCGGUAAUACGUAGGGUGCGAGCGUUAAUCGGAAUUACUGGGCGUAAAGCGUGCGCAGGCGGUGAUGUAAGACAGUUGUGAAAUCCCCGGGCUCAACCUGGGAAUUGCAUCUGUGA
rnacentral:rRNA from 1 species